AUACGUAGGUGGCAAGCGUUGUCCGGAUUUAUUGGGCGUAAAGCGAGCGCAGGCGGUUCUUUAAGUCUGAUGUGAAAGCCCCCGGCUCAACCGGGGAGGGUCAUUGGAAACUGGAGGACUUGAGUGCAGAAGAGGAGAGUGGAAUUCCAUGUGUAGCGGUGAAAUGCGUAGAUAUAUGGAGGAACACCAGUGGCGAAGGCGGCUCUCUGGUCUGUAACUGACGCUGAGGCUCGAAAGCGUGGGGAGCAAACAGGAUUAGAUACCCUGGUAGUCCACGCCGUAAACGAUGAGUGCUAAGUGUUGGAGGGUUUCCGCCCUUCAGUGCUGCAGCUAACGCAUUAAGCACUCCGCCUGGGGAGUACGGCCGCAAGGCUGAA
rnacentral:rRNA from 1 species